UACAGAGGGUGCGAGCGUUGUCCGGAAUCACUGGGCGUAAAGGGCGCGUAGGCGGCCUGAUAAGUAGGGGGUGAAAUCUUGCGGCUCAACCGCAAGGCUGCCUUCUAAACUGUCAGGCUGGAGCACGGUAGAGGCAGAUGGAAUUCCCGGUGUAGCGGUGAAAUGCGCAGAUAUCGGGAGGAACACCAAUGGCGAAGGCAGCUCGCUGGGACGGUACUGACGCUGAGACGCGAAAGCGUGGGGAGCAAACAGG
rnacentral:rRNA from 1 species